UACGGAGGAUCCAAGCGUUAUCCGGAAUCAUUGGGUUUAAAGGGUCCGUAGGCGGUCUUAUAAGUCAGUGGUGAAAGCCCAUCGCUCAACGAUGGAACUGCCAUUGAUACUGUAAGACUUGAAUUUUUGUGAAGUAACUAGAAUAUGUAGUGUAGCGGUGAAAUGCUUAGAUAUUACAUGGAAUACCAAUUGCGAAGGCAGGUUACUAACAAACGAUUGACGCUGAUGGACGAAAGCGUGGGGAGCGAACAGG
rnacentral:rRNA from 1 species